CUCUGUUUAAAACACAUGCCAAAUACUUCACAAUUUUAACAAUUCUUUCCAGUGUGUAUUCUUUGAUGAACUUGAAGAUGUGUGCUCUGGCUAAAGAACUUUCUACAAAGUGAACAUUUGUAACGUUUCUCUCCAGUGUGUAUUCUUUGAUGAACUUGAAGAGUUGAGCUUUGGGUAAAGGACUUGCCACAUACUUUACAAUUGUAAGGUUUCUCUCCAGUGUGUAUUCUUUGAUGAACUUGAAGAUGAGAGCCUUUGAUAAAGGACUUGCCACAUAAUUUACAAUUGUAAGGUUUCUCUCCAGUGUGUAUUCUUUGAUGAACUUGAAGUUUAGAGCCUUGGGCAAAGGACUUG
rnacentral:lncRNA from 1 species